GUUAUAUGGUCAAGCGAAUAAGCGCACACGGUGGAUGCCUUGGCGGUCAGAGGCGAUGAAGGACGUGGUAGCCUGCGAAAAGUAUCGGGGAGCUGGCAACAAGCUUUGAUCCGGUAAUGUCCGAAUGGGGAAACCCACCUCGCAAGAGGUAUCGUGCAGUGAAUACAUAGCUGUACGAGGCGAACGCGGUGAACUGAAAUAUCUAAGUAACCGUAGGAAAAGAAAUCAACCGAGAUUCCCUGAGUAGUGACGAGCGAACGGGGAACAGCCCAAAAGUCGAUUUGGUUCUAGCAAAACGGUCCUGGAAAGACCGGCCAUAGAAGGUGACAGCCCUGUAUGCGAAAGGGCCAUAUCGAUGAAAAAUGAGUAGGGCGGGGCACGAGAAACCCUGUCUGAACAUGGGGGGACCAUCCUCCAAGGCUAAAUACUCCUGACCGACCGAUAGUGAACCAGUACCGUGAGGGAAAGGCGAAAAGAACCCCGGAGAGGGGAGUGAAAUAGACCCUGAAACCGUGUGCGUACAAGCAGUCGGAGCCCGCAAGGGUGACGGCGUACCUUUUGUAUAAUGGGUCAGCGACUUAUUGUUCGUGGCAAGCUUAACCGUAUAGGGGAGGCGAAGGGAAACCGAGUCUGAUAAGGGCGCAUAGUCGCGGGCAAUAGACCCGAAACCGGGUGAUCUAGUCAUGCCCAGGGUGAAGGUUGAGUAACAUCAACUGGAGGCCCGAACCCACUCCCGUUGCAAAGGUAGGGGAUGAGGUGUGAUUAGGAGUGAAAAGCUAAUCGAACCCGGAGAUAGCUGGUUCUCCUCGAAAGCUAUUUAGGUAGCGCCUCAUGUGAAUCUUCCUGGGGGUAGAGCACUGUUAUGGCUAGGGGGUCAUUGCGACUUACCAAACCAUUGCAAACUCCGAAUACCAGGACAGACUGCAUGGGAGACACACGGCGGGUGCUAACGUCCGUCGUGAAAAGGGAAACAACCCAGACCCACAGCUAAGGUCCCAAAUUAUCACUAAGUGGGAAACGAUGUGGAAAGGCAUAGACAGCCAGGAGGUUGGCUUAGAAGCAGCCACCCUUUAAAGAAAGCGUAAUAGCUCACUGGUCAAGUCGGUCUGCGCGGAAGAUUUAACGGGGCUAAGUGAUAAACCGAAGC
rnacentral:rRNA from 1 species